rnacentral:rRNA from 1 species
GAUGAACGCUGGCGGCGUGCCUAACACAUGCAAGUCGAGCGAACGGACGCGGAUUUCGCUUCUCUGAUGUGAGCGGCGGACGGGUGAGUAACACGUGGUUACCCUACCUAUAAGGCUGAGGUCACUUCGGGUGAGCGGAGCUACUAACGGGUAAUAUUUUUAACGGGAUGGUUCAAAAGUGAUAGCCGUUUUUGCUGUGCCUUAUAGAUAGAUGCGCGGUGGUUUGGCUAGUUGGUAAGGUAACGGCUUACCAAGGCAGCGAUGCCUAACCGACCUGAGAGGGUGAACGGCCACACUGGAACUGAGACGCGGUCCAGACUCCGACGGGAGGCAGCAGUAGGGAAUGUUGGGCAAUGGGCGAAAGCUUGACCGAGCAACGCCGCGUGAGUGAAGAAGGUCUUCGGAUCGGAAAACUCUGUUAGUAGGGAAGAACAUAUGUGUGAGGAACUGUGCACAUCUUGACGGUACCUAAACAAGAAGCAACGGCUAACUACGUG